CCUUACGUAUUCCCUAGUACGGCGAGUGACCGGGAAGAGCUCAAAUUUGAAAUCUGGCGUGCUCAGUGCGUCCGAGUUGUAAUCUAUAGAGUCGUUUUCCGUGCCGGACUGUGUCCAAGUCCCUUGGAACAGGGUAUCAAAGAGGGUGAUAAUCCCGUACUUGACACAAUGACCGGUGCUCUGUGAUACGUCUUCUACGAGUCGAGUUGUUUGGGAAUGCAGCUCAAAAUGGGUGGUGAGUUCCAUCUAAAGCUAAAUAUUGGCGAGAGACCGAUAGCGAACAAGUACCGUGAGGGAAAGAUGAAAAGCACUUUGGAAAGAGAGUUAAACAGUACGUGAAAUUGUUAAAAGGGAAACGAUUGAAGUCAGUCGUGACUGAGAGGCUCAGCCGGUUCUGCCGGUGUAUUCCCCUCAGUCGGGUCAACAUCAGUUUUGUUCGGUGGAUAAGGGCAGUUGGAAGGUGGCACCCUCGGGUGUGUUAUAGCCAGCUGUCGCAUACAUCGGAUGAGACUGAGGAAUGCAGCUCGCCUUUAUGGCCGGGGUUCGCCCACGUUCGAGCUUAGGAUGUUGACAUAAUGGCUUUAAACGACCCGUCUUAAAAACCGGGAACAAAAUCUUUUCGGAAAAAAUUAAAAAAA
rnacentral:rRNA from 1 species